CCGAAGAAGCCCAAAGAUACGUUGUUUCAAGUCUGUCAAACAGAGUCAGCGUCAAGUCAGUCACCGAUCCAGGGAGGGAGAAAGCCACACUCAUGAGAAGCCAAUCCACAAUCCAGGGAGGAAGAAAGCCACACUCACGAGAAGUCAGUCCAAGUCGAAGAUCCACAGCUUGCAGGGACAUGAGAGAAGCCUCCCAGUAACACAUCUGGCAUCCCCUGGGCAACGUCUCUGUAGAUGGCCAAUUCUCUCAUGCCAGAAGCGACUUGCAAAACAGAAAACAAAAUACAUGGCAGCUAUUGGACUUGGUGGUGUUCUCUAUUUUGCAGUCUUAGGAAAGCAUGAAUCUUCACUCAGGCAUGAAAUCCACUGUGACCUUGGGCAAGUCUCAUUCUCUCAGCUUUGGAGGAAGGCAAAGCGAAACCUCUUCUGAAGACAUUUUGCAUAGAAAACCUUCUGAUAGAAUUGCCAUAAGUUGAAAUCAGUCUAAAGGCACAUAGUAACAAAUACACAUGGACGCACACACAUACAAAUAUAAGUGUGAGUAUGUCUGUACAUGUGUGUGUAUAAUCUUCAUAUGAGUAUAUAUGUAUAUGUGGAUUUGAUUCUUGUUUUCUUUUCUUUUAUAGUGCUAUUAUUCUGUUAUGAAAAAUCAUGAAAGGACAACAGUAAUUCCUCUCUUUCUGUUUCCUCAUAACAGAGAGAAUAAUUCAUGGGCAGUUAGAUGCUAAUCACCUAGUGGAGCUGAACAGAAAAUAAUAAAUUGGGGUGAACCUAUAAAAAAGAUGCUUUCAUUUUAAGACCUGAUAGUUUUUAAAAGGCUCAAGCUCUUUAUCCUCACUGGCUAGAUUGGUGUUGCAAUUUUGUUUUGUUACAAAACAUUAACAUGGACAAGAGUUAAGAAACAUUUAUAGUUACAAUAGAAAACAGAAAAAAAAAUUGUGAUAGCAAAAGGCUAGGACCUGAGUCACAAAGUUCUCUAUGUGACUUUGAUGGGUUUCCCAUAACCUAUUUAGUGCUGUCAAAGGAUCACAGUUUGGUCUCAGGUCCCUGACUAACAAUUAUAACAAAUAAUAUUAAGCAAGAAAGACUACUGAGUACUGUAUCACACAAGAAAGGAAACUGGCAUUGAAGCAAGACUAUCACCUUUGGUGACCAUUCCUAUUGCAUGAUGCUAUAUGCAUCACAUUGCCAAUCUACCUCCUCCCCAAAAACCCAUCAAUCUCACCUUGUUCCCAUCUUUUAUCUUGUGCAAUGGGUCUCAUCUGCUUUUAUGCUGGAACAGAUUAUAUUCUCUCCCUUUCCCCCGCUAUCCCAAGCUGCUUAUUUUUACAGCAAUAUUUGCCUUUAAAAAAACCAUUGUUGAUUUGUGAAAAGGCUAAACAAAUUUUAAAAAAUUACAGGACAUUGGAAGAGAAAGAAGGCAAGGUAAAAAGGGGAUGCAAAAGUAUGACCUUGGGACCAUGCGUCAAUGAACUGGUCAAUGGGUCAAUGAAGUGGUGCAAUUGCACAAAUAAAGAGAGAUACAAUGACAAUGGUGUUCAUGGCAAUAUGUAUUUGGUGCCAGUGACUGUGUGUUUGCCCUGGAAUAGCAGCUUCAUGCAGUAAAAUCUCAAAAUAGUAUAAGCCAGAUUCGUAUGUUCAAUAUCAUGCUAUUUAUUCCACACUUUUUUCUCUCAAGUGAAGAAUACAUGGGAUUUUGGUUAUCUACACUCCAUAGUUGUGAGUCUUCAUGUCUCAAGAAGGUCAUGUCUCCAUAUAAAAUUUAGCAACACCCUCUUUCCUCCUGAAUCAUUUAGUCUGCAGCUGGUCUGUGUUUGUUCUUCAUCCACUUUGUACUCUCCAGUUCUCUCUCUUACCUCCAUGUUUGUAAAGCACAGGUUUCUGGUGUCUUUGGCCAUAAGAGAUUAUGGCAUCUUAACAUUUCUUAGUAAGUUUACUUCCUCUCUUUAUAUUUUAUACACACACACACACACACACACACACACACGGUAUAUUUGAAGAGCCUAUGUUCUGUUUUGAGGAAUCUUUAAAGAUAGUUGAUAACUUGGCUGCAGAUGUUCAGACAUCCUGAAAGACCAUUUUGCUUGAAGCUCAAAAGGUCCUUGUCUGGAUCACUUCAACUGGUGCAUUUAUACAGAUUGGAGAUAACUGAAGGAGAGGAGAGGUCAAACAGGCUCUAUCCACAAGCUUCUUAAGUACUGAAAGCAGUCCUUGAAAAUACAAGCUUUGGACAAAAUGUUGAAAUGCCAGUUUAUAAGAGUUCUUCUAACGCAUCUCCUCUGGAAGCUGAAUC